CGCGUAGGCGGCCACCGCAAGUCAGUUGUGAAAUCUCUGGGCUUAACCCAGAAAGGUCAACUGAUACUGCGGGGCUAGAGUGCAGAAGGGGCAACUGGAAUUCUCGGUGUAGCGGUGAAAUGCGUAGAUAUCGAGAGGAACACCUGCGGCGAAGGCGGGUUGCUGGGCUGACACUGACGCUGAAGCGCGAAAGCUAGGGAGCAACG
rnacentral:rRNA from 1 species